UUGGAACUGAGACACGGUCCAAACUCCUACGGGAGGCAGCAGUGAGGAAUAUUGGUCAAUGGACGAGAGUCUGAACCAGCCAAGUAGCGUGAAGGAUGACUGCCCUAUGGGUUGUAAACUUCUUUUAUACGGGAAUAAAGUGAGCCACGUGUGGCUUUUUGUAUGUACCGUAUGAAUAAGGAUCGGCUAACUCCGUGCCAGCAGCCGCGGUAAUACGGAGGAUCCGAGCGUUAUCCGGAUUUAUUGGGUUUAAAGGGAGCGUAGGCGGGUUGUUAAGUCAGUUGUGAAAGUUUGCGGCUCAACCGUAAAAUUGCAGUUGAUACUGGCGACCUUGAGUGCA
rnacentral:rRNA from 1 species